rnacentral:rRNA from 1 species
UACGGAGGGUGCGAACGUUAAUCGGAAUUACUGGGCGUAAAGCGCCCGCAGGCGGCUUUGCAAGUCAGAGGUGAAAGCCCGGGGCUCAACCCCGGAAUUGCCUUUAAGACUGCAUCGCUAGAAUUGUGGAGAGGUAAGUGGAAUUCCGAGUGUAGAGGUGAAAUUCGCAGAUAUUCGGAAGAACACCAGUGGCGAAGGCGACUUACUGGACACAUAUUGACGCUGAGGUGCGAAAGCGUGGGGAGCAAACAGG